rnacentral:rRNA from 1 species
UAGAGUUUGAUCCUGGCUCAGAGCGAACGCUGGCGGCAGGCUUAACACAUGCAAGUCGAGCGCUCGUAGCAAUACGGGAGCGGCAGACGGGAGAGUAACACGUGGGAACGUACCCUUCGGUUCGGAAUAACCCAGGGAAACUGCAGCUAAUACCCGGUAAGCCCUUUGGGGGAAAGAUUUAUCGCCAUUGGAGGGGCCCGCGUCGGAUUAGGUAGUUGGUGGGGUAAAGGCCUACCAAGCCUUCGAUCCGUAGCUGGUCUGAGAGGAUGAUCAGCCACACUGGGACUGAGAUACGGCCCAGACUCCUACGGGAGGCAGCAGUGGGGAAUAUUGGACAAUGGGCGCAAGCCUGAUCCAGCAAUGCCGCGUGAGUGAAGAAGGCCUUAGGGUUGUAAAGCUCUUUCGGCGGGGACGAUGAUGACGGUACCCG